rnacentral:rRNA from 1 species
UACGUAGGGUGCAAGCGUUGUCCGGAAUUAUUGGGCGUAAAGAGCUCGUAGGCGGUCUGUCGCGUCGGCUGUGAAAUCCCGGAGCUCAACUCCGGGUCUGCAGUCGAUACGGGCAAACUGGAGUACUGCAGGGGAGACUGGAACUCCUGGUGUAGCGGUGAAAUGCGCAGAUAUCAGGAGGAACACCGGUGGCGAAGGCGGGUCUCUGGGCAGUAACUGACGCUGAGGAGCGAAAGCGUGGGGAGCGAACAGG